GGUUAAGCGACUAAGCGUACACGGUGGAUGCCCUGGCAGUCAGAGGCGAUGAAGGACGUGCUAAUCUGCGAUAAGCGCCGGUAAGGUGAUAUGAACCGUUAUAACCGGCGAUUUCCGAAUGGGGAAACCCAGUGUGAUUCGUCACACUAUCAUUAACUGAAUCCAUAGGUUAAUGAGGCGAACCGGGGGAACUGAAACAUCUAAGUACCCCGAGGAAAAGAAAUCAACCGAGAUUCCCCCAGUAGCGGCGAGCGAACGGGGAGGAGCCCAGAGCCUGAAUCAGCAUGUGUGUUAGUGGAAGCGUCUGGAAAGGUGCGCGAUACAGGGUGACAGCCCCGUACACAAAAGCGCAUGUGCUGUGAGCUCGAUGAGUAGGGCGGGACACGUGGUAUCCUGUCUGAAUAUGGGGGGACCAUCCUCCAAGGCUAAAUACUCCUGACUGACCGAUAGUGAACCAGUACCGUGAGGGAAAGGCGAAAAGAACCCCGGCGAGGGGAGUGAAAAAGAACCUGAAACCGUGUACGUACAAGCAGUGGGAGCAC
rnacentral:rRNA from 1 species